ACGCGAUGGGAUGCGGUGAGAAUGCCACUGUGGCAGUCUUCAAGGAUUCCGUCUACAGUUGAAAAAAAUUGAUGCUCAUUAUCAAAUAACACCGUUUUUUAUUAUGAGCUUUAAUCCUGCCUCUUUGCAGGAAUGGAAAUGAUUCGUUCCUACAAGAAUCAGCCAUCGGAGAAUCUGCAAAGAACAUUUCAAACGGAGUCCUGUCCCCUCCUAUCUCCCUCCUGUCUCUCUCCCCUCCUGUCCCCUCCUAUCUCCUUCCUGUACUGUCCCCUCCUAUCCUGUCUCCUUCCUGUCUCCCUCCUAUUCCCCUCCUCUCCUGUCCCUUUCGCCUCCCCUCAGCCCAGCCCUCAGUAAGCACAUCUGUCAGCGCUGUCAGGCUCACCCUCUCACUGCAGUCCUGCG
ensembl:lncRNA